CAGUGGGGAAACUUACACCACCAAUAUUUUCCAUUAACAGGAACACGCUAAGUAGUUAUUAGAGAAAGACACGCUACUGUAAAACAAUAUACUGUUUCCAUGGGGUACAACAACCCCUUCCUCCUCCUCUGAAACACAUUCUAUCUCUGGCUCACUGUUGCCAGAGACACUGAGUCUUGUCUUUGGAUACGUUCUGGUGCCCACAAGAAUGAGAUGAGACAGUGGAUCCCAGAACACCAGGCCACGAACUUCCCUGUUGCUCCUUGUCCACUCCAGAAGCUACCCAGCUGCAGUUGGGGACCUCAGCCCCUGGGUCUGAUGUCAUCCAUUUGCCUUUCUCAAUGGACUUCUCUCCUUGCACUGGCUCCUACUCCCCCAGGACCUGUGGGUGACCACAUGAGAAGAACACAAACAGGCCAUGCCCCUUUCUUUCUCCCCCUCUCAAUGCCUGCAGUAGUGGGUUCCAUGGGGUAGUGACCUGAGAUUUACUCAUUGUGGGGCCUCUAGCCCAGAGCAGGGCCUACUACCUCACAGUCACCCCAUGAAUGCUCAGUGAAAGAAGACGUCCACCACAAGGUCCUGGGGAACCAAGAAUUCCACUGUGGCCCAUAAAUUCUAAGUCUACAGGAUUCUGGAAUGGGAGAUGGGAAAGGCCUUCAAAAGUGGCCACUUUUAACCCAUUAUACUGGCAACUGAGCCAUGUUUCCCCAUCCUGGACACAUCCAGAGGGCACUGCCUAAAACCAGACACAUCUCCCCACCCAGGACAGUGUAGGAGCCUUAGCCUGGGGGAUGCAGGUGGACAGGGAGGGGGUGAGCCACCAAAGCUGAAGAGCAGAAAGCAGGUGAAAGGGGACAGCAGGGUGGAAACAGAGAGAAAUGGGGGCAGAGAAUGGGGGGUGAGAGGGGAAGAGUGAGGAGAGGGAUGCAGAUCUAGCUAGUAAGGAAAAGUCCUGGAGAGAACACUGUCCUCUCCUGAAGUAAAAUCACUUCUACCUGACCACGGCACUGCAGCUCAUGGGCAGCACAUGCUGUGGAUAUUUGUUCAUUCAUUUAACAAAUAUUUAUUUAAUAUCUGUUGCAUGCCAAGCAAGGCCCUGCAAUGUUUAGGGACCUUGACAUCUUCCCUUCACAUCUGAGUCAUAAUACAAAGAGGACUCUCUGACCCCACUGAGCUGGCAAUGCCUCGGGAUUUUUACCUGUUGGAUCUGGCAGCUCUUGAUGUCAGCCCACACCAUGUGAGGCUGCUCUUGGUGCACCCAAUGGGGAAGUUUCUACAUCAGGGCCUCGGAGAAUCCACUGGAAGCCCUGGACAGUGGGAGUCAGCGGCAUCCCCAGUGUGGAGGCCAAGAGCACACAGUGCUUAAGCUCCAGGCACCCUCAGGAGGACGGCAAGGGACAAUUGGCUGUCUCCCUGAGCACAAUUUAUUUGCUGAAAGGCCACAUCUCACUAUGGAGUGAGGAUCAAGAAGUAAAGGUCUGAAAGAGAGAAGCUGCGGGGCUGGGGAGACUGUUGGUCGGAGAGGCGUCGGGGGCCCAAGGAAAAGGGAGGAUUGUGGGGAGGAAUCGGCGUAGAGAUGAGAGGAGCAGCAGAGACAGAGUCUCACGCAGAGGUGUGCCCAGACACCCUGAACCAAGUUACUUAACCUCGUCCACCACCGUGGCACCCGUGGGGUCCGUGGGCCCGUCGGUCUUCCAGGAGGGAUUCUGUGUCCCUGUUAUUGUGUGUCAACAUGUGUUAGCCUGAUAUUUAUAUUUUUAAUGAGAGAAAACGAACUCUGGAAUUUGCGAACUGUUUUUUCGUUUUGCUUUAUACCUCUUGGACACUCCUUCCGAAGGAUUGGGUCUCAAGGGCAGUGGGGUGUGACUACGGUAGACAGGGCUGAUUAAUUUUCAUCCAAAACUCUUUGGCGGAUUCCCCUGCUCUCCGCUUCUCCGGUCUAACAGUAGUUUAAAAUAGAAGAUCAGCAACAUUUGGAGAGUUUUUUUCUUUGCAUUUUAAUGAUAAACUUGAUUUAUUCCAUUCCAAAAGUUUUCUUAUUCUGAGGUUGUCUUUCUAUAUUUUGAGUAUAAAACAAUGGCCAUACUAUGUUGGAACCACCAAGGUUCUUCUCUUCACUUGUUCAUUUGUAAUGUCUCUUUAUAAUCUGAGAAUUUCCUGAGCAAACUGGGAACUGUUAUACAUAAUUCCUUGUUUUUCAACAUUCUUUGUAAACAGGAAUCAGGAUUGGGGAUGGGGAGGGAGGGAGGAGUAGGAGUCCUGAUUUGUGGAACAGAAAAUCAUGGAUUACUUAUGUGAUGGAGCAAAGGGUUUAAAAACUCUUAGCAUCCCCAGAUUUCCCCUUUUACUGUUUGCUGAAGAAAAUUCUGUCUUUGACUCCCUUCCUUACCCUCUCCGGGCCUGUGAGAAGCUUCCUCCCUAUCCAGUUUAUUUCCUCCUCUGCUCCCCGACCCACCCCCCACAGCCCCCUCCUCUUUUUCAGUGAAGCCGCUGGAGGAAAGUCGGGUUUGGGAGAAGACCCACACAGGCAAGGACAGCAGGAGAACACUGACAUAGUUACACUCUUGUCACCAGCACUUUUAUUAAGACGUGAAAAGACAAAGACAACAGAGGAGAGCAGAGAAUAAUAUCUCUGUUUCAGCUAUUCCAGGAUGUUAUGCCAAUUAUCCAGAGUCCUUGAUCUGAUGUAGUAAAGAGCUAGGGACAUUUUCCCUGAAGGCUUUGAUUGCUGGCAAAAUCUCAUUAAACGUGUAUACAUUCAUAGGUUGGCCAUAGGAUGGAUAAAAGAAGAGCCUCUGGCCUACAUCUGCCACGAUACAUGUGCAAAAAUGCUCUCUGCAGCAUUAUUUUUCAUUGUAAAAUAGCAGAACAAAUUUAUUAUUCAAUAAUUAUAAAAUGGUCAAAUGUAUGUGACUAUAUUUGGACAAUGAAAAAUGCAGCUGUUAAAAGCAGACAAUACUGAUGAUUCAGAUGAUGUUACUGAUGAAAAUAAUAACAGAUGACAAUUAUUGAGCAUUUAUGGCAUUCUUACAGGCAUUACCUUAUUUAAAGUUCAGAACUACCAAGGAAAAGAGUAACUUGUGGCAGGCGUGAGAGGUUCCGAGGCACAAAAGGAAGAUAGGCAUUCAAGGAACACCAGGAUAGAAGACCCAGAGUAGGAGAAGAGAGAGGAAGAGGAGUCCGCCAGAUGGGAUGCUGGAAACCGCGGGAUAGCUCGGUGGAGAGAGGGCGCUCCUGCUCCGCAAGCCUCCCUACGACGGCAGGCCUACCCGGUCCUGCUCCUGCCGGCUCUGGGCAUCUGGUUUCUGCCGCUCCAUCUCCAGGGAGAUGGUGGCCAGGCUGUGCCGUGUACCCAUCAACUUCUCUGACAGCGCCAUCUUCUCAGACUCCUUCAGAGACAAGGCCUGGGCAGAGGCAGGGGACAAAGGGCUUGGGGGAUGGGCUGGUCCUGGGGGCAUGCUCAGGCUUCUUGCUGCCUAGGAAAUGUGCCCACUGGGGGCUUAGAGGCCUGAGUGUGCCACUGCAGGUGGACCCAGGGCAGACAUGCAGCCCUGGAAAAGGGCACAACGGCAGUCACAAGAAUCCCGGACGUGGAUACCACUCAUAGAGCUCACUAACCCGCCACAGCACCCUGACUGCAGAGUCUUUCUUUCUACCCAUCUUACAGAUGAGGAAACUGAGGCUCAAGGAGGUAAAGUGACUCGCCCAGGUACACAGCUGGUGAGGAGAGGAGAUGGGCACAGUCUGCCCUGUCUCCGUUACAUUAUAGGAAAGUUAGGGAUUUGUUAUUUGGGGGGACACGUCAGCUGAUGCCUGUGGGCAUCGUGGGGACUGCUCAGAAGGCAGCCAUGAGGAUCCAUGCCCAGCGUGGGGUGGGACGAGGCAUGGGAGAAUAUGGAACAGCUUUCCUGGUGUCACGACUGUCACUGUCACUCAGUAAGUGCUCACUGUGUGCCAGGCAUGGAGCACAGCAAAGCCUCACGAACCCCCUUCUAAUCCUCCCCUCCUGCAGGUAAGGAAACUGAGGCCCCCAAGAGGGCAGUGGCCUGCCCCAGGGCUCCUAGCUGCCAAGUGGCAGAGCAGGGCCCGGCCCCAGAACUGGAGCAGCUCAGAGAGCAGCAGAGGCCACGCCAGGGCUCACGAACCUGCUGCUUCUCGCUCUCGGCCAGGAGGAGGCCCUCGUCAUGCUCCUGCUGCAGGGCAGCAAUCUCCUCACUCAGCUGUUCCUUCUCAGCCUUCCGCCGGGCCAGCAGCUCCUCCUGCUCACGCUGCAGCUGACUCUGCAGCUGGGCCCGCUCGGCCUCCAGCUCCCGCCAUGCUGCCUCCUAGGGGGCCAGGACUGGACGCGUGUGACACACCAGGAGGGGCCCAGGCAGACCCCCCAAAACAUCAGGGCAGCAAGAGCCAUCUGGCCCCCAUACCCUCAGAGAUGGAGGGUGACCAGGUAAAUACAAGGGACUGAUAAGGGCUAUGACGGGGACACGCCAGGGCCGUGAAAGUGCCAAGGAGCAGCAGUGGGCUGGCCUGGGGGUCCGAACAUGAUCCCCUGCGGAGAGACAAGUAACUGUCAGCCAGGUAAGGAGAGAAAAGACCACCCCAGGCCAAGAGCACAGCCCCUGGAAAGGACUACAGGAUGCAGGGUGCAGAGGGAAACAGGGCACGGUGAGUCACAGGGCCAGAGCCCCAGGCAGUGGCUGGGCCAGGACAGGCCGUGUGGGCCAUGGGGAUUCUAAGGACAGUGAGGGGAGUGGGAGAGAGGACUCGAGCCAAGGUGACAAGGAGCAAUCUGAUUUUUAGCUUAGGGGAUGUUCCGACAGCUGUGGAAGAGGGAUUGGGGUUGGGAUGGAGGAGAGUUAGGACUGGCUGUGAGGAAUGAAGGGGGUCAGGGGUUGCCAGAGGAGCUGGAGAGAAGAACACAGAUUUGGGGACAUUAAUGAGGCCAAGCCAGGCAAUGCAAAGGGCAAGAAGAGCAAGGGGGAGGUCACAGUUCAGAUCCCUGGGGACUGGACAGGCGGGCAGGCAGAGCCCACAGGCAAAUAGCAGCCCACCCGGGGAGCCCGAGGGCAGGUGCCUGCCUCAGCAGUUGUCCCUAGCAACUCUGUGAGAAGCAGACAGAGCUGCCACUUCUUUUUUUUUUUUUUUUUUAGACAGAGUCUCGCUCUGUCACCCAGGCUGGAGUGCAGUGGCGUGAUUUUGGCUCACUGCAACCUCUGCCUCCCAGGUUGAAGCGAUUCUUCUGCCUUACCCUCCCAAGUAUCUGGGACUACAGGCGCGUGCCACCAUGCCCAGCUAAUUUUUUGUGAUUUUAGGAGAGAUAGGGUUUCACUGUGUUAGCUAGGAUGGUCUCGAUCUCCUGACCUCGUGAUCCGCCCACCUCAGCCUCCCAAAGUGCUGGGAUUACAGGCAUGAGUCAGCACGCCCGGCCAAGCCACCCCUUCUUUAAGAGCUUCACCAUAGCUCAUGCCUGGAAUCCCAGCACUUUCGGAAAGAGCUUUACCGCCCCCUGAUGGAGAAGCGUGAUAACCACCACCCAAGGCCAUGGGGACUGCAGGGUGAGUGGCAUGCCCUGGAGCCAUGUAGUCAUAGCCUGCACCUCUGUCAGAGGAAGCCCUGUCUAGGAUUUGGUGGCUGAGGGCCCCUGUUCUGAGGGCCACUCUGGAGAGCAUGCCAGUGCCAGCAAUCAUAACUCAUGGAGCAUUUGCUAAGUACCAGUCACUAUGUUAAGCCCUCUAUGCAGAUGGUCUCAGCUCAUCCUCAAUACCUUCCACUAUCCUAUCCCUAUUUCUACAGGUGGGGAAAUGAAGGCACAGACACCUUGGGUAGCAUCACCAGUAAGCGACCAAGAUUAGAUUCAAACCCAGGCAAUAUAACCCCAGAGUCAGUGUUCUAGUAACUUCCCUGGCCCCUUGCCUUUCUACAUGCUCAGGUCUGCGUGGCCCUUCAUAUGGAAACUUCUUAGCAAAUGAAAGUGCUUUCCUGCUGUGCAUUAGGUCAACAUUUCCCAAAUGUGGUUGUGGACCCUCUGCAUCAGGAUUACCAGGGCUGGACCAGAUUUGGGACCUGGGUAUCUGAAUGUCUAAUAAGGACCACAACCUCCCCACCACCCCUCCAGUCCUCCCAGCUGUCCCCAGGGCCUCCACAACAGAGAGGGAGUCCCAUUUCACAGAUGUACAGACCGAGGCAGAGCAAGAACGAUGAUGAAACACUGGCUCAGACUUCUGCCCACCCCUCCCCAGCUGCCUGAACCUUUUCACGCUGGAGUCACUGUAAGUCCUCCUCCUGGGCUGCCCACUGCUCCCGCAGAGAGGCCUGGGCCUCCCGCUCAGCCUGCACCAGCUUCUGGGCCAUCAGCUCCUUGUCUAGACUGGCUUUCUCCUGCGUAGCUAUUAUUUGCUGCCGCAGGCCCGCCAACUCCCCUGCACGAGAGGAAUGGGGGAAAGGGCAGGGUUGGGUUGAAAUUUUUCCUUGGGCCAGCAGACUUAGGCCAGUUGAGCCAUAUGGGCAAAAUCCCAGAGGCAGAGGGCCUGCCUGGCAUCCAGUUUGGGUCCUCUUGAAGAAGUGGCUUGUCCUCUCUGGGCCUCAGUUUCCCUAUCUGCUACAUGGGCCCACUGGCCCUGACCCCUUUCCUGCCUACCUAGAAUGGCAUUAAAGGCAUAAAAUGACUGAUGAGAAGGCCUCCCAAAUGGGACGGAUGUCAAACAUAUAACAACCCUAGGCCAGGUGCCAUGGCUCACUCCUGUAAUCCCAGCACUUUGGGAAGCUGGGGCAGGUGGAUCACCUUAGGUAAGGAGUUCAAGACCAGCCUGGCCAACACGGUGAAACCCUGUCUCUACUAAAAAUACAACAAUUAGCUGGGCAUGGUGGCGGACGUAUGUAGUCCUAGCUACUUGGGAGGCUGAGGCAGGAGAAUCGCUUGAACCCAAGAGGCAGAAGUUGCAGUGAGCUCAGAUCGCACCACUGCACUCCAACCUGGGCGACAAGAGUGAGACUCUGUCUCAAAAAAUCAAACAGGCUGGGCGCGGUGGCUCAUGCCUGUAAUCCCAGCACUUUGGGAGGCCGAAGUGGGCAGAUCACCUGAGGUCGAGAGUUCGAGACCAGCUUGACCAACAUGGUGAAACCCCGUCUCUACUAAAAAUACAAAAUUAGCCAGGCAUGGUGGCGCGUGCCUGUAAUCCCAGCUACUUGGAAGGCUGAGGCAGGAGAAUCGCUUGAACCUGGGAGGCGGAGGUUGAGGUGAGCCAAAAUCGCGCCAUUGCACUCCAGCCUGGGCAACAAGAGUGAAACUCCAUCUCAAAACAAACAAACAAAAACAAACAAACAAACAAAAACCCUAUUACUGACUCAGCACUUACUAUGCGUCAAGCACCCAGCUAAGUAUUUUAGACAUAACCUCAUUUUGUCUUCAUAACAUGCCUAUGUAGUUUAUCCUCAUCCCCGUUUAACAGAUGAUGAAAUGGAGGAUCAGAGGAGAUCAGCAGCAACUUCCCACAGCUGCACAGCUACACAUAAAGCAUCUCCUUUAAUGACUGACAUGAACAUACCUGUCAAGCAUUAACUAUCAGCAUUAAUGGAAACGACUACAGGGAAUGGAAAUGGUAUAGCCAUCAUCUAAAAACCAUCUCCCGGGUUGGAAACCCACCAGCAUUUCCCUUCCUGGUUCUGUCUGGCUCAGGUGUACAUGGACAGGAAAAUUAAUUUCCAUGACCCAAGUAGGUGCUUAGUUAAUGUUAGAUGAGCAGAAAGAAGCCCUGAGUUCAGAGAUUCGAUGGGGAACGGUGCAGGGAAGUGGGGCUCGGAUUCUGGGGCCAAGAGAGUCAUCUGAAAACCACAGAGAACUCAGACUAACAGGCCUGAUGACCGAUGAACAGCAGUUACUGUUGACUCAGCCAGGCACCGUGCCACGGCCUUACACGCUUUUCCCAUGUCAUCCUGGCAACAGGCUUAGAAGGUGGGCAUUGCCACCUCCAAUCAUCAGCUGAGGAAUCUGCAGCCCAGAGAGGAAAGGGGCUUGCUCAAGGGAAGGUGAGAUCUAAGUGGUGGCACAGGACUGGAACCCAGGCCAGCCAGACUCCUACUCCAGUGCUCCCAACUUCUGUGAGACUACAGACAUUGGGAGGUUGCAGUCUGGGCUGGAACCUGGUGUUCCCCCCAAGUCCCCAGCCACUCGUACCAGUCAGGGUCUCCUUGGCCAGCAGCAGGGCCUGCCCCUCGGCUUCCAGCUGCUCCCGGCGGGCCUCAAGCUGGGCCAGCUGCCAUUGCACCUCAAACAGGCUGCCCUCCAGGGCUUCCUUCUCCAAGCUGCAGCACAUACAGUGCGUGAGGCCCUGGGACUCAGCCUCCCUGGCCCCAGGAAACUGUGGAUCUCAGGGAGUGGCCAGGCAUGGGCCAAGUGCCAAUCUACCUGCCUGGCCAGGCCCACACUCCCUGGGGAAGCCUGAGCCCACAGCUAGGACGAGUUGGCAAGCCAGACUCCUUAGUAACUGCCCCUGGGGGCCCGUGCCUGGGUGAGGCUGUUCAUGGCGUGGCCCCAGGAGGACCGCCCAGGGCGGGUUGGGCAGAGCCCAAGGCCUUACUGCAGGUGUGUGGCCUCCUCUGACACGGUCCUGCCUUCACGCUCCGCAGGCCGCCAGCUGCACAGCCAGGCCAGCGUGCUCCUUGGCUAGCGCCUCCUUCUCCCGGGCCACUUGCCCCAGCGUCUCCACCUGUCACUGGGCCUCCCACCGGGCCUGCUCCAGCUCCUGCUCCCGCCUGCUCAGCUGCCAGGAGAGCUGGCUCCCACCCAGAGACUGAGUAGCACUCCCAGCAUCCCCCAGCUUGUUCAUCGUGCAGUACCCCAACUCUGGGCCUAACCCAGUCCUGGCAGAAGGCCUGGGUUCGAGCCCAGGGUCUGCCCUGAUGUGCUAUAUGUACUUGGGCAAGUCAUGACCUUCUCUAGAUCUGCAAUGCACGUGUGUACAAAAACCAGGGCCCGGCCGGACACGGUGGCUCACGCCUAUAAUCCCAGCACUUUGGCAGGUGGAUCACUUGAGGUCAAGAGUUCAAGACCAGCCUGGCCAACGUGGUGAAACCCUGUCUCUACUAAAAAUACAAAAAUUAGCCGGGCAUGGUGGUGCACGCCUGUAGUCCCUGCUACUUGGGACGCUGAGGCAGGCGAACAGCUUAAACCCCGGAGGCAGAGGUUGCAGUGAGCCCAGAUCGUGCCACUGCACUCCAGCCUGGGCAACAGAGCAAGACUGUCAAAAAAAAAAAAAAAAAAAAAAAAAAAGAAAAGAAAAAUGAGGGUCCUCACUCAGCUUUGGAAGUAACAGAACCCUUGUAUUACUCUAAGCAGAGAAGCUGAAUAUAUAAACCAGACCCAAAUGCAGCUGCUCAGCAGGCCUCAAGGUGGAGACUUGCACCCUGCUUCCUGCACUCCCUACCCCAUCCUCUAGAGGCACCUCCCAGAAACCCAGGCCCUCCAGGAUGGACCUUGCAUGAAGGUCCCUGGAUCCCUGAAACAUUAAGGUCUCUUCGAGAUGUGAAGUUCCCAAAAGUCUAAGAUUCCAAUUCUAAAAAGUCUCCACCUAUUAUUAAUCUGUAUCAUUAUUAUUAUUAUUAUUGAGACGGAGUCUUGCUCUGUUGCCCAGGCUGCAGUGCAGUGGCACGAUCUUGGCUCACUGCAACCUCUGCCUCCUGGGUUCAAGCGAUUCUCCUGCCUCAGCCUCCUGAGUAGCUGGGACUACAGGCGCGUGCCACCACACCCAGCUAAUUUUUUGUAGAGAUAGGGUUUCACCGUGUUAGCCAGGAUGGUCUUGAUCUCCGGACCUCAGGUGAUCCACCCGCCUCGGCUUCCCCAACUGCUGGGAUUAUAGGCGUGAGCCACUGCACCCGGCUAGCCCCAUGUUAUAAAUGGGGCAACUGAGGUAUGGGAGGUUGGGCAGCUUGUCCAAGGUCCCCAGCUAGGAGAAGUGGGACUGGAUUUAACCCAGAAGCAGGCUCCAGUGCCUGUGACUUAACCCAGGACUGGAUGCAGGAGGCUGCGAGCCUGGCCUGCCCCACAUGCUCUCCAGACCACCCCACACACAGUUUGGCCUACCUGUGCUAGCUGCUCCUGCAGCCAACUGAGCUCAUGGUGCAGUGUGGGGAGCUGUUGCUCCAGCGCCUCCUGGGCCUGCUCCGCCACUCAUAGGGAGCCCUCCAGGCCCUGCCGUGCCACCUCCUGCUCCAACCACAGCUCCUCCAGCCACUCCUGCUCUGCCGGCGCCACUGUGGCCUCCUGCUCCGCCUGCCGCUGCCGGCCCUGCAGCAUGGCCUUUUCUUCCUCCAGCUGUGGGCCGGAAAGGAGUGGGGCCUCAUGAGCAGGGCGUCCCUCCCAGGACCAGGACGCCUCCUCCACCCACCCACCAGCCACGAUAGCCCAGGGGAGGCUCCCAGGGAAUGAGGGACAGUGCCCUUGGGUGUGUGGGACACUGGGGAGGGGGAGAUGAGGAGGGCCCAUGGAGCGUCGGUGCUUUGACUCCUAGAGAGGACAGACAGACAGACGGAGAUAGACAGAGAACCAGAGACAGAAAGGGAGGCAGGGGCCAAGACAGGUGCAGGGCCGGGCCCAGGGUGCCUCACUGAGUGGGGAGGACGGGUGGGCAAGGUAGGUGGGCCCGCAGGUGCACAGUGUACCUGGGUGACAAGGCAGUUCAGAUCCAACUUGUCCUGAGCAAGGCUCUCGUUGAGGGCGCUCAGCUUGGACAGGGAGUCCUGCAGGGAGGCCUCCUCUGCCCUCAGCUUGGUCACGGAGAGCUCGAGCUCCAUGCGGCCAGCCUCACCCUGCAGGGUCAGGCCCCAAGAGAUGAGGAAGGGCAGAAAGGUCGGGAGGAGGUGAGGAGAGACAAGAAGAGACCCAGAGAGAUGGACCCUCGGAGACAGGGGAGGGGAGACAAGGAGGGGAUACGGCGUGAGAUGGAAAAAAAAAUCACCGCAGAAAGCCUGCUGCUUAUGGAGCCAUUUAAAAGCCAUGCACCGCAAAGCUGUGCAAAAAUAGCUCAAGCUGCAGGGCAGGGCCAGAGUUCAGAGGAUCCCCUGAGUAAGGUCUAGGGAUAGCACUGCUCAGAGCCCAGGCUGCAGCGGACAGCGCAGGCCCCCC
rnacentral:lncRNA from 1 species